UACGAAGGGGGCUAGCGUUGCUCGGAAUCACUGGGCGUAAAGCGCACGUAGGCGGCUUCUUAAGUCAGGGGUGAAAUCCUGGAGCUCAACUCCAGAACUGCCUUUGAUACUGAGGAGCUUGAGUCCGGGAGAGGUGAGUGGAACUGCGAGUGUAGAGGUGAAAUUCGUAGAUAUUCGCAAGAACACCAGUGGCGAAGGCGGCUUACUGGCCCGGUACUGACGCUGAGGUGCGAAAGCGUGGGGAGCAAACAGG
rnacentral:rRNA from 1 species